rnacentral:rRNA from 1 species
AGAGUUUGAUCAUGGCUCAGAACGAACGCUGGCGGCGUGCCUAACACAUGCAAGUCGAACGGAAUUAAGGGGCUUGCUCCUUAAUUUAGUGGCGCACGGGUGAGUAAUGCGUGGAUAACCUACCCUGGUAUCCGGGAUAACAUCUCGAAAGGGGUGCUAAUACGGGAUAAGCCCACGGGGUCUUCGGACCCUGCGGGAAAAGGUGGCCUCUAUUUAUAAGCUACCGUAUCAGGAUGGGUCCACGUACCAUUAGCUAGUUGGUGGGGUAACGGCCUACCAAGGCGACGAUGGUUAGCUGGUCUGAGAGGAUGAUCAGCCACACUGGAACUGAGACACGGUCCAGACUCCUACGGGAGGCAGCAGUGGGGAAUUUUGCGCAAUGGGGGAAACCCUGACGCAGCAACGCCGCGUGAGUGAUGAAGGCCUUCGGGUCGUAAAGCUCUGUCAGAGGGAAAGAAGUGUAUAGUGGUUAAUACCCAUUAUACUUGACGGUACCCUCAAAGGAAGCACCGGCUAACUCCGUGCCAGCAGCCGCGGUAAUACGGAGGGUGCGAGCGUUGUUCGGAAUUAUUGGGCGUAAAGCGCGUGUAGGCGGCUCCUUAAGUCUGAUGUGAAAGCCCCGGGCUCAACCUGGGAAGUGCAUUGGAAACUGGGGAACUUGAAUACGGGAGAGGGUAGUGGAAUUCCUGGUGUAGGAGUGAAAUCCGUAGAUAUCAGGAGGAACACCGGUGGCGAAGGCGGCUACCUGGACCGAUAUUGACGCUGAGACGCGAAAGCGUGGGGAGCAAACAGGAUUAGAUACCCUAGUAGUCC